rnacentral:rRNA from 1 species
GACGAACGCUGGCGGCGUGCUUAACGCAUGCAAGUCGAACGGGCCUUGUCCCCUUUUUUUUUGGGGGUGGGGUUAGUGGCGAACGGGUGAGUAACACGUGAGUAACCUGCCCCUCACUUCUGGAUAACCGCUUGAAAGGGUGGCUAAUACGGGGUGUUCUGGCCUGCUCGCAUGGGUGGGUUUGGAAAGAUUCGACCGGUGUUGGUUGUUUUGGUGGGGGAUGGGCUCGCGGCCUAUCAGCUUGUUGGUGGGGUGAUGGCCUGCCAAGGCUUUGACGGGUAGCCGGGCUGAGAGGGUGGGCGGUCACACUGGGACUGAGACACGGCCCAGACUCCUACGGGAGGCAGCAGUGGGGAAUAGUGCACAAUGGGCGCAAGCCUGAUGCAGCGACGCCGCGUGAGGGAUGGAGGCCUUCGGGUUGUGAACCUCUUUCGCCAGUGAAGAAGGUCCUGCUCUUUGUGGUGGGGUUGACGGUAGCUGGGUUAAUGAAGCGCCGGCUAACUACGUG